rnacentral:rRNA from 1 species
CCUACGGGGGCAGCAGUGGGGAAUAUUGGGCAAUGGGCGCAAGCCUGACCCAGCGACGCCGCGUGAGGGAAGAUGGUCUUCGGAUUGUAAACCUCUUUCAGCAGGGAAGACAAAAGGACGGUACCUGCAGAAGAAGCCACGGCUAACUACGUGCCAGCAGCCGCGGUAAUACGUAGGUGGCAAGCGUUAUCCGGAAUUACUGGGUGUAAAGGGUGUGUAGGCGGGUUUGCAAGUCAGAUGUGAAACUUAUGGGCUCAACCCAUAACCUGCCGUUGAAACUGGGGAUCUAGAGUGUGCGAGAGGUAGGCGGAAUGCGUGGUGUAGCGGUGAAAUGCAUAGAUAUCACGCAGAACCCCGAUUGCGAAGGCAGCAUACCGGUGCACAACUGACGCUCAGGCACGAAAGCGUGGGUAUCGAACAGGAUUAGAUACCCCAGUAGUC